rnacentral:rRNA from 1 species
GACGAACGCUGGCGGCGCGCUUAACACAUGCAAGUCGAACGGAAAGGCCUGCUUUCCCUUGUGGAUUGCGGGUACUCGAGUGGCGAACGGGUGAGUAACACGUGAGUGAUCUGCCCCCAACUUGGGUAUAAGCCUGGGAAACUGAGUCUAAUUCCCGAUAGGACUGCAGGGUGGUGCCUGUGGUGGAAAACGAUUUUCUAGUGGUUGGGGAUGAGCUCGCGGCCUAUCAGCUUGUUGGUGGGGUAAUGGCCUACCAAGGCGGCGACGGGUAGCCGGCCUGAGAGGGUGGACGGCCACAUUGGGACUGAGAUACGGCCCAGACUCCUACGGGAGGCAGCAGUGGGGAAUAUUGCACAAUGGGCGGAAGCCUGAUGCAGCGACGCCGCGUGGGGGAUGACGGCCUUCGGGUUGUAAACUCCUUUCGACCGCGAGGAAGCCACCUGGUUGGAAGGGUGGUGACGGUAGUGGUAGAAGAAGCACCGGCUAACUACGUG